UACGUAGGGUGCAAGCGUUAAUCGGAAUUACUGGGCGUAAAGCGUGCGCAGGCGGUUGUGCAAGACAGAUGUGAAAUCCCCGGGCUUAACCGGGGAACUGCGUCUGAUACUGGAUGGCUUGAGAUUGGGAGAGGGAUGCGGAAUUCCAGGUGUAGCGGUGAAAUGCGUAGAUAUCUGGAGGAACACCGGUGGCGAAGGCGGCAUCCUGGACCAACACUGACGCUGAGUGAGCGAAAGCCAGGGGAGCAAACGGG
rnacentral:rRNA from 1 species